rnacentral:lncRNA from 1 species
AACAAGUUAGUUGUUCAAUUUGGUUUCUUAAUUCUUGAUUGGAUCUAUUGUUGCAUUCGGGUUUUAUGAAUUGUGGCCGUGGGGUGGUGGGAUGAAUGUUCAUAGUUAAUGCACAAGUUUGAAUUGAAGAUGAAGAUGGUGAUGAAUUUUGAAUUUUCAUUAUAGAUAGAGAUGGGGAAGAUGAAAAAUGAAAAUUUAUAGCAAAUUUGAUUUUGUUUUAAGUUGGUAUUAAAUAAUUUUAUAUAGUUAAAUUUUUUUUUGUCGAAAAUAAGAAAAGUGUUUGGAUGUGAGAGAUUUUGAAUCUGGGAUACUAAGUACAAAAAAGUUCAUACUUUGGGGUAAAUACUAAUGCCAAUCUUUUUUUCAUAUUUCCUUUAAUGGAAAGAUUUCACGAGGGUUGUCUUGUGGCAAUGCA